AUGUGAAAAAGGACUAGCAUUAUGGGAAAGGGUGUUAGGAGGAAUGCUUACAGAAGAGGUGCUACAUAACAAAUGGAAGAAUAACUUGUGUACAAUGUCUUUUUUCCAAAUGUUGGCAGUGUACUGUUAAAAUGAAUCGUUGUGGAAGGUUAUAUCCGAGUAUGCAGUCAGUAUAACAUGUUCUGCUGAUGUAGUCUCACGCACAUACUGUGAUCAUUGGAGUGUGGAUGUGUAGACUAAUAUCUUAUCAACCAUGACGACAGUCAGAGCAUCAACAAGUCCACUUGCAGCAUAUGUACAGACUAGGGACAGAAAAUGCUGUAAAAUGCUUGUUUUGCAUUCUGUAAACAGCUGCAUUGUAACACAUGACGACCAUUGUCAGAUCAUACAUAAUGCAGUAAAUAAUAAAUUUCAAUAUAUUUGAGUUGUUUCUAGAAUUAUCAAUGACAAGAAUAGUACAGCCGACCAUUAUAAAUGUUUCUGACGAAUAUUGCAGGAUUAAAUAACAUUUGUAAAAAAAACAAAAAACAACAAAAAAACAACAAAAAAAGCAAAGAAACUAAAUGUAUUUAUAUAACCAACACAUCUGCCUCGAAACUAACAAUGUGCCGAUCUUUCCUCAAGCUCCAAAAGAAAAUCGUGAAUUCCCGAACGAGUAGACCAGUGGGAAACGGAAGGACUUCUCCACUGUCUAAUACUUUAGACAUUACCAAUCAGUCAAUUAAAAUAGAAGCAGAAGGUUCCAUGAAAAGAUACAGACUCAAAUUGUUGACACAUGUUUUUUGGAAAGACUUAUUGAACUAAGACGCCUGAUCUCGCCGGUCAUUGGUGCUGAAGGGCAGACGAAGCUGGAGGUUCAGAAGGUCGCAGAUCGUUGUUUUGGGUUCAGGUCAUCUGAUGCGAGUCAGUGUUUCAACAUCCUGCAGCGUUGUUCUGUAGCAGACCAAGAGAUCAGGACAAUCCAGGCAAUCUCUAUUCCCGAACAAGGAAGAGAGAUACACACCAGUCCACGCUAUCAUUUGCAGGUCAGCCAUUACAAUUUAACUUCGAGCCAGUUAUUAGAGACAGAAGCUGGCUUGUUGGGGAGCAGCUCAGAGUGUUUUGCCUUCCAGCAGGAGUACUCCCGACAUGCUGACGUGUGCACUGAUGAGAUAAAGCUUUCAUGAUAAUAGUCUUGCAAUGACUGAGUACCC